rnacentral:rRNA from 1 species
GCUUAACACAUGCAAGUCGAGCGAGAAUCGUUUAUUGAAGGCUUCGGCUGGAAAUAGAUGAGGAAAGCGGCGAACGGGUGAGUAACGCGUGGGCAACCUGGCCUUAAGAAAAGGACAGCCCCCGGAAACGGGGAGUAAUACUCUAUGAAAAUGAGAGAGGGCCUCCUACUUUCAUUCAAAGCGCAAGCGCUUAAGGAUGGGCCCGCGUAUCAUUAGCUAGUUGGUGAGAUAACAGCCCACCAAGGCAACGAUGAUUAGCCGGUCUGAGAGGGCGAACGGCCACAUUGGAACUGAGAGACGGUCCAAACUCCUACGGGAGGCAGCAGUGGGGAAUAUUGCGCAAUGGAGAAGAACUCUGACGCAGCAAUACCGCGUGAGCGAAGAAGGUCUUCGGAUCGUAAAGCUCUGUUAUCAGGGAAGAAGAAAAUGACGGUACCUGAUGAGCAAGUCCCGGCUAACUACGUGCCAGCCGCCGCCGUAA